UACGGGGGGGGCAAGCGUUGUUCGGAAGUUACUGGGCGUAAAGGGCUUGUAGGUGGCCAACUAAGUCAGACGUGAAAUCCCUCGGCUUAACCGGGGAACUGCGUCUGAUACUGGAUGGCUAGAGUGUGGGAGAGGGAUGACGGAAGUUCCAGGUGUAGGCGGUGGAAAUGACGUCAGAUAUCUGGGAGGAACACCGGUGGCGAAGGCGGCAUCCUGGACCACGACUGACACUGAAAAGCGAAAGCCAGGGGAGCAAACGGG
rnacentral:rRNA from 1 species